CGGGGCAUGAACGGUCAGACUCCUACGGGAGGCAGCAGUGGGGAAUAUUGGACAAUGGGCGAAAGCCUGAUCCCGCCAUGCCGCGUGUGUGAAGAAGGUCUUCGGAUUGUAAAGCACUUUAAGUUGGGAGGAAGGGCAGUAAGUGAAUAC
rnacentral:rRNA from 1 species